UGGACUUCUCUGCUUGCCAAAAGAUUACUUUGAGGGUCGCAUUGGGGCUAUUUAUAAAGCAUAAAAGUAACAGAAUUUAAGCUCAGACCCAACUUUGCACCACUGAGUGCCUAAAUUGGCCGCUCAACGGUUUGCCUAUAAUCGCAGGAUCGCUCAGCGGUCAGUCCCACCGCUCAGCGGUUUGCCUCUAAUCGUUUUGGACGCUCAGCGGCACCGCUUGAGCAAGAAAUAAUGAUUUCCCCCUAGUCUUUGGCGCUCAGUGUUGGAUUUUGGCGUUAAGCGGUGAACUUGACUCUUCUUUUCUUCCUUUUUUC
rnacentral:lncRNA from 1 species